GUAGUGACAGUUCAGUGGUAGAAUUCUCGCUUUCCACGUGGGAGACCUGGGUUCAAUUCCCAGCCAACGCA
rnacentral:tRNA from 1 species